UACGUAGGUGGCGAGCGUUGUCCGGAUUUACUGGGCGUAAAGAGCGCGCAGGCGGUCGUACAAGUCGCGUGUGAAAGCCCCCGGCUCAACUGGGGAGGGUCACGCGAUACUGUUCGACUCGAAGGCAGGAGAGGGAAGUGGAAUUCCCGGUGUAGUGGUGAAAUGCGUAGAUAUCGGGAGGAACACCAGUGGCGAAGGCGGUUCUCUGGGCAACAACUGACGCUGAGGAGCGAAAGCGUGGGGAGCGAACAGG
rnacentral:rRNA from 1 species